rnacentral:rRNA from 1 species
UACGUAGGGGGCAAGCGUUGUCCGGAUUCAUUGGGCGUAAAGAGCGUGUAGGCGGCCAGGUAGGUCGGUUGUGAAAACUGGAGGCUCAACCUUCAGAGGUCGACCGAAACCAUCUGGCUAGAGUCCGGGAGAGGAGAGUGGAAUUCCUGGUGUAGCGGUGAAAUGCGUAGAUAUCGAGAGGAACACCUGCGGCGAAGGCGGGUUGCUGGGCUGACACUGACGCUGAUGCGCGAAAGCCAGGGGAGCGAACGGG